CGCCGGUGUUGUUGUGAGAAGUUCAUUAAACCUUAUCAUUUAGAGGAAGGAGAAGUCGUAACAAGGUUUCCGUAGGUGAACCUGCGGAAGGAUCAUUG
rnacentral:rRNA from 2 species